UACGUAGGGCGCAAGCGUUGUCCGGAAUUAUUGGGCGUAAAGAGCGUGUAGGCGGCCAAGCAGGUCCGCUGUGAAAACUCGAGGCUCAACCUCGAGACGUCGGUGGAAACCGUUUGGCUAGAGUCCGGAAGAGGAGAGUGGAAUUCCUGGUGUAGCGGUGAAAUGCGCAGAUAUCAGGAGGAACACCAAUGGCGAAGGCAGCUCGCUGGGACGGUACUGACGCUGAGACGCGAAAGCGUGGGGAGCGAACAGG
rnacentral:rRNA from 1 species